CGUGCCCUCUCGUUAGUCCCAGGCUUGAACCUGUCCAAACGCUGUAGCCGCUCUCCACAAUCUCCUUUAAGAUCCUCAACUGCACACUGGGGCCUACAUUUCCAUACUUGCCAAAAUCAAGAGCCAUAUCAUAAGGCCUGACCAAUUGCCACGUGUUUUUAGUAACUUGUCAUGCUUUCCUGCCCCCACCUCUACCCCCACCAGGUCUUUGUUAUUUCAAUUCAGGAUUAUAAAUCCAGCCUUUUCCAAUUUGUUUGUUUUAUCAAUCUUUUUCUUAUGAAAUUUGGGGUGUUCUGUUUCCCUGUUUAUAGCAGCCUCUAUGCCUCCACCUACCUCUCUGUCUGGCUCCCACGCUGCCCGCCAGCCCCUGUACGCUGCGACUUUCCCGCCUCGAGGUCUUCAUUUUGUUCCAGGAGGUAACAUGAGCCAUAAUUUCCCUCGUCUUGCCUAUCCAAGGAGACCUCCGUGCAGCCUUCACUCACGAACGACUCAUGGCUGGGAAGAAAACAUGGGAAACACAAAGAAAAAUAACGGAUCGCCUAGAAUCACACCAAACACAGCAAGGUACACCAGGAUCUGCGUGUCCCCUCGGGCCGCCGCGGGAAGGGAACGUGCGAGGUCCGCAAAUACCCGCCGAGUUCUGCUUUGUUUAGAAACCAAGCUUGCUUGGGGUAUCAGUGAGAACGGUGCUCAACCACGUGUGCCUGGGAACCCAAAAUAACGGUGACUCAGACACAAGAGAAAUCUAUUUCUCCUUCACAUUAAAGAAAUCCCGGCGUAGGAAAUACGGGACUGGUGUGGGGGACACAGGGACAUCAGGAACCUGGGCCCAUCCUAGCUUAUUGCUGCCCCAGGGGACCCUCACAACCUAAGACGGCUGCUGGAGUUCCAGCCAUC